GGACUGGGCCGGCGCCGGGCAGGGAACUGGUUCGCGACCGCAGCCGAGAGACCCCGGGCGACCGGCACCUCCGAGCCUCGCGGGCCACCUGCCUCGACCUUCCCCGGAGCGCCCCCGCCUCCGAGUCGCUACUUGCCGGGCCGGGCCGGGCGUGAUGCGCCGCGGGACCCCUGUCCUGGCCACUGGCCGCCGCCGCCGCCGCCGCUGAGACCCCGAGACCCCCAGUGACGCCGCAGCCAUGGAGAGCGGCCCGCGUGCGGAGCUGGGGGCGGGCGCACCCCCAGCUGUGGUCGCCAGGACCCCCCCAGAGCCAAGACCUUCUCCAGAAGGUGACCCUUCCCCCCCACCACCACCGAUGUCAGCCCUGGUCCCCGACACUCCCCCGGACACCCCUCCUGCCAUGAAGAAUGCCACUAGCUCUAAGCAGCUCCCACUGGAACCAGAGAGCCCCUCAGGGCAGGUCGGGCCUAGGCCAGCCCCCCCGCAGGAAGAGUCCCCUUCCUCUGAAGCAAAGAGCAGAGGACCCACCCCAACAGCCACGGGCCCACGGGAUGCCAGACCUCCUCGAAGGAGCAGCCAGCCAUCUCCAACAGCAGUGCCAGCCUCCGACAGCCCUCCCACCAAGCAAGAGGUGAAGAAGGCAGGAGAGAGACACAAGCUGGCAAAGGAGCGGCGAGAAGAGCGGGCCAAGUACCUGGGUGAGUGAGCAGGAAGCCUCAUCAUCUUCUUCAUCGUCAUCAUCAGCAUCCUAUUAAUAACACCAACAGGCUGGGGCGCAGUGGCUCACGCCUGUAAUCCCAGCACUUUGGGAGGCCGAGGCGGGCGAAUCACCUGAGGUCGGGAGUUUGAGACUAGCCUGACCAAUGUGGAGAAACCCUGUCUCUACUAAAAAUACAAAAAAUUAGCCAGGCAUGGUGGCACAUCCCUGUAAUCCCAGCUA
rnacentral:sRNA from 1 species